AGGAAGUGUUUUUGUGAAGAGGGGUGAAGGGAAAAGUGGAGAGAGUCUUUUGGAGAGAGCUUUGGAGUGGCUAAAAUGAGUGAGGGUCGAAUGGAAGCACAAAAACCAAUCUGCAAUGCCAGCGCCUAACGCUAAUUGUCGUUGAACGGUAUGCACGAUACUCACCCUCCUUCUUCCUAACUCGCCCUUAGCGUUCAUGAUCCAAUGCCACUCAAAUUCAACUCUCAAAUUUCGAAUUUCAUGCAAUUUCUACUCACU
rnacentral:lncRNA from 1 species